rnacentral:rRNA from 1 species
GAACGCUGGCGGCGUGCCUAACACAUGCAAGUCGAGCGGCAGCGAGGGGUGCUUGCACCCUGUCGGCGAGCGGCGGACGGCUGAGUAACGCGUGGGAACGUGCCCCAAAGUGAGGAAUAACUGCCCGAAAGGGUAGCUAAUACCGCAUAUUAUCUUCGGAUCAAAGGAUUUAUCCGCUUUGGGAGCGGCUCGCGUCGGAUUAGGUAGUUGGUGAGGUAAUGGCUCACCAAGCCGACGAUCCGUAGCUGGUCUGAGAGGAUGACCAGCCAGACUGGAACUGAGACACGGUCCAGACUCCUACGGGAGGCAGCAGUGAGGAAUCUUCCACAAUGGGCGAAAGCCUGAUGGAGCAACGCCGCGUGCAGGACGAAGGCCUUCGGGUUGUAAACUGCUUUUAUAAGUGAGGAAUAUGACGGUAACUUAUGAAUAAGAAUCGGCUAACUACGUG